rnacentral:hammerhead_ribozyme from 1 species
AUCCAUCUGACGAGUCCCAAAUGGGACGAAACGCGCAUCCUGGAU